AUUGAACGCUGGCGGCAUGCCUUACACAUGCAAGUCGAACGGCAGCACGGGUGCUUGCACCUGGUGGCGAGUGGCGAACGGGUGAGUAAUACAUCGGAACGUACCUUAUCGUGGGGGAUAACGCAGCGAAAGCUGUGCUAAUACCGCAUACGCCCUGAGGGGGAAAGCGGGGGAUCGAAAGACCUCGCGCGAUUAGAGCGGCCGAUGCCUGAUUAGCUUGUUGGUGGGGUAAAAGCCCACCAAGGCGACGAUCAGUAGCUGGUCUGAGAGGACGAUCAGCCACACUGGGACUGAGACACGGCCCAGACUCCUACGGGAGGCAGCAGUGGGGAAUUUUGGACAAUGGGGGCAACCCUGAUCCAGCAAUGCCGCGUGAGUGAAGAAGGCCUUCGGGUUGUAAAGCUCUUUUGUCAGGGAAGAAACACCGGCUCUAACACAGUCCGGGAAUGACGGUACCUGAAGAAUAAGCACCGGCUAACUACGUGCCAGCCGCCGCCGCAG
rnacentral:rRNA from 1 species